GAUGAAGAACGCAGCGAAAUGCGAUAAGUAAUGUGAAUUGCAGAAUUCAGUGAACCAUCGAAUCUUUGAACGCACAUUGCGCCCGGCAGUAAUCUGCCGGGCAUGCCUGUCCGAGCGUCAUUUCUGCCCUCAAGCACGGCUUGUGUGUUGGGCCCCGUCCUCCGAUCCCGGGGGACGGGCCCGAAAGGCAGCGGCGGCACCGCGUCCGGUCCUCGAGCGUAUGGGGCUUUGUCACCCGCUCUGUAGGCCCGGCCGGCGCUUGCCGAUCAACCCAAAUUUUUAUCCAGGUUGACCUCGGAUCAGGUAGGGAUACCCGCUGAACUUAAGCAUAUCAAUAAGCGGAGGA
rnacentral:misc_RNA from 1 species